rnacentral:ncRNA from 2 species
CAAUAUCAGCUGGUAAUUCUGGGC